UAGAAACCUGCGGGAACUCACGCGUUUCGCCCAUAUUUCCGCCUUCAUCACCGUCCUUCUCCUCCUCCUCCUCUCUCUCUCACGCACCCUCUCUCCCUCCGGCUCACUCUCCACUACUGCUCCCGAUCUCUCCUCUACGCGCGACCGCUCCGCCGCUCGAUCCGGCAGUCAGGUACGUCGUCGUGAUUACCAAUACUACUCACAGAGGCGGCGCCGGCGGCAGUAAAAAACUUGUAGGGUCCGUUAAUUCGGGAGCACCACUGAAAUCCCCAAAUCUGGCUCCCCAAUCCCAAAUCUGCACUCCAUCAACAAUUUAUGUGUUGGGCAGCACAAAUCCAGAGUUCGCAAGGGGUGUUCCCUGGCCUUCCCGUUGCUAGCCGCGUGCGCAUGCCACGAACUCGUCCAGGUUCCAAAUCCUAAAGCCCUGCCUGUAGACCGCCCGCUACCCACCACGAUUUCACUAACGCUUCGCUUAUUUCGGGAUGGAUGGAGUACUAAUAUUUCUCUUACUCCCUCCGGCCGCAAUUACUCGUCAACGUAUUACAUGUAUCUAGACGUUUUUUACACAUAGAUACAUCCGUAUUUGGGCAAAUUUGAGACAAGUAAUACCGAUCGGAGGAACUAAUAUAUUAGUGGAUUAACUCUUCUAAUCUGAGCCUUUCAGUUUGCUUUGAAGUUCGUGCAGAAAAUAUUUUGGAAAAGUUUGUGCAUGGAAAAGUUCGUUUGCUACCCAUGCACAAUGCAGAGGCAUAGAGCACAUGGACAGUGAGAAGAUCAAUAUACCAAAAGGAUUGUGCUUCAAGAGUCGCCUUGACCCACCCUGCAAUCCAGACAAAGAAAAUUGUUUCUGUUGUUUUGACGAUUUUAAAUGCUAUAAGACGAUGGACGAUUGCAAAUCUCACUGCGCAUGAUUUCACAUCUUUUUGGGCGAUCGACAUCCCCAAUUCUGUCCUCUGCCAUUAGAUGAAUGUAAUAACGUCAAUUGAUGUGCUAUUAAUAUGCAAUUAUGAAUAAGAUCAGACGACGGGUGCUUAUCUUUUCUCUGUUUCAA